AUGAAACCUAACAUUUCAAUAAACCCUAAGCCUUCUUCCUACAGUGCUUGCUUCCAAUAUUUAUGGACAGUAAAUGUCUUCCCAGGCAUCCUUCUCUCGUACCAGGACAUCGCCUGCAGCGGUUUCCCGAGGUUCCCCGUGUGUGUUCUCUCCACAUCAGCACCAAGGAGGAAAGACCUGGGGACAACGUGCAGAAAAGAGCAAUUCCACAUCCUUUGGGACAAGGGGUUAGGCUUUGCCUUGUGUCAGAGGUCCUGGACAGCCUUCAGAAGAGAUCCAGAAAGGUUUGCCAAGCCCUCUGGGAUCAGAAGUGGUACCAUUAGAAGAUGGAGAGUAUGGAAAAAUAAACAGAAAUCCACUUUCCAGGAUUGUCCCUCUAACACAGCGUGCUCAACAGAAUUCCAGCUCCAGAAAAACCAGGGUGGAAAAGCAGCUUUCACCUCCCAACUUUUGUGAAGUGCAUAAUUUGGCAUUAGACAUUUCUUGUUUUACUUAGGAAAGGUAGUUGUAGGGAUGAAGGGAGCCAGAACAGAAUCAAAAGACAGAGAGUGAAACCAUAACUCAGAUUUUAUUAUUUAGGCAAACCCACACUUGAAAAUGGAAUACAGAUUUUAUUUGGAUAUAGUCUCCUGUCUAUCUGCUAGAGGUUAUACACCAAGCUCCCUGAGUGAAAGGGGCCAAAGACACAGCUCUCUGAGCUGCAGUGGUUUGUGCAGGCAAUGCAAGGGACCCUGGAUGCCAUAAAGCUUGCCUGUAUCUGACAAACUGCAGAUUUUUCCAAAACAAAAUGCCAGAUUGUGUAUACAAACAUCUUAAAAGAAAGUAUUAUCUAUUCUUACAUUAGAGGGAGCUUUAUAUUUGCAAUGACCCAAGGAAACCCACUGAAAUAUCUGGAAAUUCUCUGCUUUAAACAAAUGGCACGUUAAUGAACUUUGUGUUUUACUUCAGCUCACUGAAAUGGCCUGCCAAGGGCUCUAGCAAGGUAUGUGCUGUGAGAAUUUAUAAUAUCCAGGAAAUCUGACACACUGCAGCCAAGAGGCAUCUCUGGAAUCUCAGACCAGGACAGAAGGGGAGCUGGGUGUAUCUGACUGGUGUCUGCAGGAUUAUUCAUCUGCACACACAAGUUCAGGAUCAGCUUGGUCUUUGUGGCUCCCUGUUACCAUUACCAGCUAAAGAGAAAAAUCUUCAAAAGGAUUUCAUUACCUUUUCCCCCUAGAUUCAUCUUAUUUACUCCCUCUUGAGAAAGCAUCUUUCUUCACACAACUUAUUUAAAUGAGGGCUUGGGAGUGCUGUAGAGCCCCAUCUGUGAUUUCAGAGUUCACAAGCAGCCAUUUGAAUAUUCCAGAGCAAAUUGAUGGGAUGAAAAGUGAGUGCCAUUUCUGGGCUUUCCACUGUAAGCAGCUCAUAAAACACUUCUAUUUGAAGUACAGAGCAUCAAAGAUACUUUCUCCAUUUAUUGCUGUGCACUUGGAGUAUAAUCCAGCAACACUUUUAUCUGCUUUUUAAACACAAAUACAGUGGCUGAUUUUCUUUCUUUUUUCUCCUUUAAGUGAAGUUUCAGAAAGGAAUGAUUUGGGCCUGAUAAAUGCUUGAUGAACUCGCUAGCAUUAACGGUUCUUUGAAAGCUAUUACUUUUAUGGAGAGAAAUAAUCCAAUUUCUUUUCCCUCUGAGAUGCACUGAAGGCAAUACACCCCUGUCACAUGAAAGAGUGAACUUCCCAAUUCCAUUUCAGAAAUAGCUUUCAUGUUAAUAUGUACUAUUUGGGUAAUUUUACUAACAAGAAAAAUCAUAAAGAGUGGGAGAAUACAAACCUAAUCAACACAAAUGCCUACUAAAUGAAUAGCAAACCUCAUUAAAAACCAAUAGCAAUUUGGUUUGGAGAGAAAAUAUUCCUGGUUGCCUUGUGUUAGGAAAAUGGUUGGGAACACCACACACUGCUGCAGAUCAGCUGCUCGUUGUCACCAAAUUUUUAAGUACAAACAGGUUUUUGUGCCCGAGGUGACAAUCAGAAUCAGCUGCUAUUCUCACGAGUGUCACCAGAGAAAGGAUCAGAUUUCAUUUGAUCCUUGGACUGGAGGCUCAGAAAACAACCUGGAAAUUGGUCUUGAGGACCCAGCUUUGAAUGAUUAGUUAAUCAGCAGAAGAGACACUCUAUUCAGAAUUAAUACAAAACAAUUAAGUAGAAACACAAUUUGGAAUUAGUAAAAAAAUUAAGUAUUUUUCUAAUCACUUCCUCUUCUUUCCAUUGCAAUAACCCAUGGCAAAAUGCACUAAUAUAAUGUUUACAUGGAAACUCACUAAGCAAUUGCUGAAAUGCUUUGAUCUUAAAAUUUCCAGAUGUUUGUUUGAAUGAUUUACACACACAAACAUUUCCUGCUAAAUACAGACUUGUCCUCCACAAUCUUGAAUGAAAAUCAGAAAGGAGAGACUGGUUGGGUAAUGUGAAGCUUCCUCCAGGAUUUCCUCCAGCAGAAGUAAAAGCCAUUAUUGAUAAAGAAUUGAAGGGUAUCCCCACAGUCUGUACUGCACUGAGAUUGUUCUCACAAUACAUGUAUAAGAUAUAUGUGACAUAAAUUUCUUUCAGUCUUUUCAAUUGGCUUCUGUUCCAUCCAGACAACAGGAAUGUGGUAGGGAAGGUUUUAAAGUAAACUCCAGCAAUUUAUUAUUUACAUGUCUAAGAGCUAAUUCUCAAAAGCAGAGUUCUUCAGUUUAGAUUUACAGCACAGCUGUGAACCCAAGGAUAAAAUAAAAAGCACUCUCUCCCAUUUUGGAGUCA
ensembl:lncRNA